rnacentral:tRNA from 2 species
GAGGGGAGGUCGAACCAACGAGAACUGCUAACUCUUGCAUCUGAGCAUGAAACCUCAGUCCCCUUA